GAUGAACGCUGGCGGCGUGCUUAACACAUGCAAGUCGAACGAUGAAGCCCAGCUUGCUGGGUGGAUUAGUGGCGAACGGGUGAGUAACACGUGAGUAACCUGCCCUUAACUCUGGGAUAAGCCUGGGAAACUGGGUCUAAUACCGGAUAGGAGCGUCCACCGCAUGGUGGGUGUUGGAAAGAUUUAUCGGUUUUGGAUGGACUCGCGGCCUAUCAGCUUGUUGGUGCGGUAAUGGCUCACCAAGGCGACGACGGGUAGCCGGCCUGAGAGGGUGACCGGCCACACUGGGACUGAGACACGGCCCAGACUCCUACGGGAGGCAGCAGUGGGGAAUAUUGCACAAUGGGCGCAAGCCUGAUGCAGCGACGCCGCGUGAGGGAUGACGGCCUUCGGGUUGUAAACCUCUUUCAGUAGGGAAGAAGCGAAAGUGACGGUACCUGCAGAAGAAGCACCGGCUAGCUACGUG
rnacentral:rRNA from 1 species